CAGUCCCUGGGGUCAAGGUCUUGUUGCAAUUGCACGAGAAGGACGAACAUGUCUUUAAGUUUUUACUCAUUUUACCAUCUGUCAUACUUUUUGUCCAAUAAUAGCUCACUUUUUUGAGGGCUUGAGUCUGUUCGAGAGGCAGAAGUUUACAAAUACCUGGAUUAUUCGGAUUAGGAAGUCUUGUUUACUUCUACGAGGUUGUGAUUAAGGAAUAAUGGAGACUUGCAAACUCCAGGUCUUUGAAAAUUAAGAAUUGAUGAGAGCAAAAAGGGAUACGAUGGUGAUAAAAGGAAACAAAGUAGAUUGAUGUCUCUGACCCUCUACAAGAAGACGGCACUGAAUUAUUCAGAUAGGAUAAGAAAGAUACCAUUCUGCCUCUCUUCCUGGAUCUUAUAUCAUGCAGCUGACAUAUGUGAGAUAAGUACUGAUUUAAGUCAAACAAAAAAAGAUGAUAUAAUAGGUUAUGAGUCUAGAAUAUACACACAAGAUACAUUCCAGCCUUUUUCCUCAUGGUUUGUGUAGUAGUAGGCUUGAAUUGAAAUUGAUUUUAUGGAUUUCAGCAAGGGUAACCAAAGUAGACCCAAAAAAUAGUCAGUUCACCCACAAAGGAGUCAUGUUCAUCCAACAAAUCUCUUCCUGAGUCUGAAUCUGUGAUGCAAAGAAAAGGUCCCACCAAAAAAGGAAAAGGAAAUGAAGUGAGUGUGAAAGUGUUUUGGCCACUGAACUGUCUUUAUGCGCUGAAUGGAGAGUGGACUUUGUACAAGAGAUAGGUGACUAAGAGUUGACCCACUAAGAAGUCAGUGUCACUUAACAAAUCUCUUUCUUAGUCUUAAUCUGUGAUGCAAAGACUUGGUCCCACAAAAAAAGGAAAAGGAUAUGCAUUGAGUGUGAAAGUGUUUUGGCCACUGGACUGUCUUUAUACGUUGAACAGAGAGUGGACUUUUGUACAGGAGAUGAGUAACUACGAACUGACCCAGGAAAGGAGUCAGUUUCACUCAACAAAUCUCUUCGUUAGUCUUAAUCUGUGAUGCAAAGACUUGGUCCCACAAGAAAAAAAGGAAAAGGGUAUGCAGUUAGUGUGUUGAAUGUUUCAGCCACUGGACUGUCUUGAUGCGCUGAACAGAGAGUGGACUUUGUGCAAGAGAUGGGUAACUAAGAACUGACCAACAGAAACUUACCCCCUUUAUUCAUUUGCCAAAUUUAAAGGUGAGGGUCAACUCUAAAGUUACAAGAAACGUUCUGAGUUUCUCCUUAGAUACCAAACUUACGCAGUUUCUGACGAAGAUGGUAUCCCGAAAUUCGGUUCCUGUGAACUUAUUUGGCACCGAAGAAGCACCCGUAAGCUUCUCUGGAGUAAAAUAGUGCCUGAAUAAGUGACUCCGUAUUUUAAGUCAAGAUACAUCAGUGUUUAUGGUGGGCUGUGAUUUGAUUCAAGGUAUCAGCUUUCUGUUCCCUCCAAAUGAUUGCUUUUGAUGAAUAAGCUGCUGUGGGGAAGAUUUGACUUUUUUGUCUUUUUCAAAUGUAGUUAAGAGAUAAUCAGUCUAAUACCAAUAGAGAUUUUUUUUUAUGUUCCUUUAAUAAAGGAAGAUAAAGAAAAUUUUACUGAAAAAAUACAGGUAGUUACCACAGAACAGAAGAGCAUUCUCUUAACAAUAUAGAGCAUAUUUGCAAUUUGCGGUUGAUGGGUAUUUUCUUAUAGCUGGUAACCAUGCCACUGUUUGUGUUGAGUUUUGGCUCACUUUUCGUUUACACUAUUAUUUUUUGUUAUCCAGGUAAAACCUAGUACCUAGUCUGAGGGCUGGUCAGGAAAGAUGCUGGUGCCGACUUGCAAGUUAUUGUGCCGGAUGUUUUCUUUCAACAACCGAAACAAACUUGAUUUCAUGAAAAGUGAACACAUUAAGAAGCCAAGGAGAAAUGUUAUCCCUGGAAGGAAUGAAAAAUUGGUGGUCGAUCUCCUACUGUCUGCUAGACAGUUGUUUAAUUAUUGAUGAAAGUUGUCUUCUAUGUGGUAACAAUAUCGUUUAACACGCAUGUGUGUUAAUACAAAUAUUUUGUUACAGAAAACGAAUGCGUUUGAAAUAAAUGUCUCUUCCACAAGGUAGAUAACUCGUAGAAAUACUUAAAAAAAAAACUGUUCUUAGGGGUGGGUGUGGUGGAGGACGGUCGACAGGUAACUUUUUUUAUUCUUUUACAUUAAGUUGUACAAGUAGAAGGGUAAAUGUACAAUUCCUUCUUUUCUUCUUUCCUCAACUUCCUGUUUUUCUAUGAUCCUUGAUGUAAAACUAUCUUGACGUUCUUGAUACUGAAAGCAAAAGAAAGAAAAAAACUAUAAUUAGAAGGCUACUUUUGGCACUGAUUCAACCAACUACAUUUAUUCAAAACACUGACUGAAAUCGCAAGAAAGUAGAACCUCGAACAAAAGGACUUUGAGUCGUCGUCUGAUAAAAUUAGAGCUACUAUUGUAAACUAAGUGAGAGGGAUGAUCCUAAAACAGAAGGCAAUAAAUGUACAGUUUCACUCAA